AACGUAGGUGGCAAGCGUUAUCCGGAUUUACUGGGCGUAAAGCGUGUGCAGACGGGGGUACAAGUGGUGUAUGAAAUUUCCCAGCUUAACUGGGAAGGGUUAUGCCAGACUGUACUUCUGGAGUGCGAGAGAGGGGCGUGGAAUUCCGGGUGUAGUGGUGAAAUGCGUAGAGAUCCGGAGGAACCCCAGAGGCGAAGGCGGCGCCCUGGCUCGCAACUGACGCUCAGACACGACAGCAUGGGGAGCGAACGGG
rnacentral:rRNA from 1 species